UACCAGCACCCCGAGUGGUCGGGACGAUUAUUGGGCCUAAAGCAUCCGUAGCCGGUUCUGCAAGUCCCCCGUUAAAUCCAGCUGCUCAACAGAUGGACCGCGGAGGAUACUACAGAGCUAGGAGGCAGGAGAGGCAAGCGGUACUCAGUGGGUAGGGGUAAAAUCCGUUGAUCCAUUGAAGACCACCAGUGGCGAAGGCGGCUUGCCAGAAUGCGCUCGACGGUGAGGGAUGAAAGCUGGGGGAGCAAACAGG
rnacentral:rRNA from 1 species